rnacentral:Y_RNA from 1 species
UCGGCGAAUGCGAACGGAACUACAUCCUCUAACGAUCGAGAUACGGGUUCAAAUCCCGUCGGCUCCAGCACUGUGGGGCCGUAGUUCAACGGUAGAACACGCCAACGUUUCGUUCAUUUUGUCGCCGAUCC